UGGUGCCCUUGCAAUGGUGAAUUGCGAAUCCCGCCAGGCCCGGAAGGGAGCAACGGUAGUUAUUUAACCAUGUGCCGAGGUGUUGC
rnacentral:SRP_RNA from 1 species